ensembl:lncRNA LINC01147 long intergenic non-protein coding RNA 1147
UAAAGUGGGAAGAUGCCAAUAAGGGUCCUUGCUCCUUGAGUAUGUGAUCCUGACACCCAGAGAUGCUAAGCCCAAAUGCCCUCAGAAGUCAGGCAGGGAAGGAGAAUAUGUGGAGUAACAUCGUCGUGAUUGGUAUAUGCAAAGACCUCCUGAAAUUACAGGAGCAAACUCCUUCCGCAUCUCGACCUAAUUAAGAUCCGUUACUCAACAGUGAUCAGUCAGAUUUUACUGUAAGAAGGAAGAAAACAAGGAUCCUGCUAGAACAACAUGGAAACAGGACCUACAACAAAGAGAUUUCUCACUGGCUUCCUGGUGGUUCAUUCAAUAGGGAAUUCCUGCAGCAAGUUGGAGGGAGGGAGGAGAAGCAGGGAGGCCACCUCCUGUCAAAGCUGGGACAUCUGAGAGACAGUGGUCACACAACAACUCAACUGCAUGUGCACCUAAAACAGUAGCUUAUUUUCUCUGAC